rnacentral:rRNA from 1 species
AUGCUCGAGAUGGCUGCGGCGAGUGACAGAGACCCUUUUGGAGACCUCCCUGACGAGCUCCUAUCGCGCGUGCUGUCCUUCCUUCCGGCAGAGGAUGCCCUGCAGACCUGUGUGCUCGACACCCGGUGGCGCGACCUCUGGAGGCGCUUCACCAGCUUGCUGUUCAUCUUUGAUGGGCCAACGUUUCCGCGAUACAACCGUUUCAAACAGUUGGUGAAGCUGUUCAUCUGUCUCCGCGGCAACUCGCCUCUCGUCAGGUGUGAGAUCGAUGCCUACCCUGAUGAUGGGCCGGAGAACACGUUCACAAACACCAGGCUGUUGAUUGAUUACGCUCUGGCGUGCGAAGCUGAGGAACUCAUAGUAAGAGCAGCUGACAUUCAGUACGACCUACCAGUGUUCGAUGUGCCCCUUAGUCUCAUCUCCCAACACUUGAAGACCCUGCACCUUGAAGGGGUCAACCUCGACCACUCUGCUUUGAACUUCUCAGGCUGCCUGGUGCUAGAGGACCUAAGGAUUCAACUUUGCAACAUUCGUGCAUGUGAGAUAUCAUCCAUGUCACUAAAGCGCCUGUGCAUCACCGAGUACUGUUUGUUACCGGACAAUGUCCGUCUUCUGAUUUGUGCCCCGAGUCUUAUCUCGUUGCAUCUAGAGGAUUUCGAAGGGUUGACACCUUUCCUCGAAAACAUGCCAUUGCUAGAAACAGCCCAUGUUAGCCUCAAAGAUGGAUGCCAUGAUUUCUGUCACAAGAACAGGCGUAAUUGUGAUGAUCCUUGCUGUGGUUGUCAUGCCUAG